CAAAAAGUAGUUUAAUAAAAAUUUUAAUUUUGGGAAUUAAAGAUAAAAAUAUUAGUUUUCUUUUUGA
rnacentral:tRNA from 1 species